rnacentral:rRNA from 1 species
GUAGGUGGCAAGCGUUGUCCGGAAUUAUUGGGCGUAAAGCGCGCGCAGGCGGUCCUUUAAGUCUGAUGUGAAAGCCCACGGCUCAACCGUGGAGGGUCAUUGGAAACUGGGGGACUUGAGUACAGAAGAGGAAAGCGGAAUUCCAAGUGUAGCGGUGAAAUGCGUAGAGAUUCGGAGGAACACCAGUGGCGAAGGCGGCUUUCUGGUCUGUAACUGACGCUGAGGCGCGAAAGCGUGGGGAGCAAACAGGAUUAGAUACCCUGGUAGUCCACGCCGUAAACGAUGAGUGCUAAGUGUUAGGGGGUUUCCCGCCCCCCUUAGUGCUGCAGCUAACGCAUUAAGCACUCCGCCUGGGGAGUACGGCCCGCAAGGCUG